rfam:Triticum aestivum genome assembly, contig: Triticum_aestivum_CS42_TGACv1_scaffold_019017_1AS
GAUAUACUCCCUCUGUCCCAAAUUUCUUGUCUUAGAUUUGUCUAUAUACGGAUGUAUCUAAUACUAAAAUGCGACUUGAUACAUUCGUAUCUAGACAAAUCUAAGACAAGAAUUUUGGGACGGAGGGAGUACUAU